CGUCGUACUCCUCGCGGCUGUUGUCCCCGGUGACGAGCAGCACCUCGACCCGCCCCGCGCGGUACAGCUCGGCCGCCGCGUCCAGGCGGUGCGCGAGAUACGGAGACGGCUCCCCGU
rnacentral:rRNA from 1 species